CACAGCCUCCCUAGGAAUGCACGGGACCCUCUGCUACAGAUGACGCUCCCAGCCUGAGCCACCCCAGGCACCCCUAGAACACCAGCGCCCCAGGCACGUGUCUACUGUGCCUAACUGGAAAUCCGGUCCUCGGCAGCAGGUGGGGAAAGAGCAGGGGUUCAAAGUCAGCACAGGUCCCUCUUCUCUUCUGGAAGCAGAGGGGAGAUCUCCUUAUUCUUCUUGGACUGAGCCCUAGUUUUCUGCCUCAGGGAAUUUGGGAAGCACCUGGCAUCUCCUGAUAAUCCAUUCCUUUGGAUGGACAUUCCCACU